AGAACGUCGUGAGACAGUUCGG
rnacentral:rRNA from 1 species